AAUAGAUACCCAGGUAGUCCUAGCCGUAAACGAUGACCACUCGCCGUGGGAGGAUCGACCCCUUCCGUGGCUAAGUCAACACGUUAAGUGGUCCGCCUGGGGAGUACGACCGCAAGGUUAAAACUCAAAGGAAUUGACGGGGACCCGCACAAGCAGCGGAGCGUGUGGUUUAAUUCGAUGCAACGCGAAGAACCUUACCAGGGUUUGACAUGCAUACGACAGGGGCGGAAACGUUCUCUCCCUUCGGGGCGUAUGCACAGAUGCUGCAUGGCUGUCGUCAGCUCGUGCCGUGAGGUGUUGGGUUAAGUCCCGCAACGAGCGCAACCCUCGUCGCUAGUUGAAUUCUCUAGCGAGACCGCCGGUAGAAAACCGGAGGAAGGUGGGGAUGACGUCAAGUCCUCAUGGCCUUUAUGGACCAGGGCUACACACGUGCUACAAUGGCCGGUACAAAGCGUUGCCAACUCGCGAGAGGGAGCUAAUCGCAUAAAACCGGUCUCAGUUCAGAUUGGAGUCUGCAACUCGACUCCAUGAAGCGGAAUCG
rnacentral:rRNA from 1 species